CUAGAUCCUGCAGUCACUUCCUGCUGACCCCUGGCCCCAUUGAUUUCCGUCUAUGAAGUUGCUCUUAUGACUUUCGCUGGUCAUAAGAUGUGCGGAACUAUUAUGGUAAAGAGUUCUAACUCGGCUUUCAGGCUUCAUGUGUUCGUGUUCUGGCUUAGCUGCUGACCAGCUUAGGCAACUAUCUCUGCCUUAGUUUCUUUCAUUUUUUAAAUGAGAGAAUACUGAAUGCCCUUAUAGCUUCUUCUUCUUGUGAGAAUGUAAUUAGACACGUCACACAGGUUGUUUGGCACCAUAGCAAUCACUCAGUAAAUGUCAGAUAUUACUAGUUAACUUUUUUUAUGUUUAUUUAUUUUGAGAGAGCAUGAGGGGGGGAGUGGCAGGGUGGGAGAACAGAGGAUCUGAAGCAGGCUCCGUGCUGACAGCAGAAAGCCCCAUGUAGGGCUCAAACUUAACCAAUGGUGAGACCAUGACAGCUGAAAUCAAGAGUCCCACAUCGGGGGCGCCUGGGUGGCUUAGUGGGUUAAGCGUCCGACUUUGGCUCAGGUCAUGAUCUCGCAGUUCGUGGCUUCAAGCCCUGCGUCCCUGCGUCGGGCUCUGUGCUGACAGCUCAGAGCCUGGAGGCUGGUUUGGAUGCUGUGUCUCCUUCUCUUUCUGUUCCUCCCCUGCUCGCGCUCUGUCUCUC